CUGAGGGCAGAAACGUUUGUGAUUGGUUAAAUCUGACAACCAAUCGCAAGAGGGGAGAGAAUUGCAGAGGCGGGGCCACCAUUUUGAAAAUUCCCGCAAAUAUUCCCACCAGUGCGCAGGCAGGCAAUUAGGAACUGAUUAUCAUUUUGCGGUGCGCAGGCAAAAGGAACUGCAACUGGAACUGGUUAUCAUUUCAAAAAUAUGGCGACACAUUGGGUGAAUGGUGUUAAAAAAUGGUAAAAGAAGCCACAUGACUCCAGGGUCCACCAAGAUGUUGUUAUUAUUAGGGGGGAUGCCAAGGAGUUCAUGGAGGGUUACAUCGAAGAAGUGCAGGAGAAGGAGCAUUGCUACUUCAGACCCCCAGUCUGCCGCCGGCAGGACUAUUAUUACUAUGGCUGUGACCGUGGGAAUCACGCUGCAGGCAAAAGUAAUGGAGAAGCCACACAAACUCGGGCCAAUUCUUGCAAGGCAUACAUCUCUUUCAAAGUCAUCACGGAUGCCGGAAUAUCAAGUGCCAUAAUCCAAAAGAUGCUACAGCACACUGGCCAUGACGAGGCUAAUUCUAAAGAGAAAAACCGCAUCCACCCAGACCUGCAUUCCCUCAUUGAAAUAUGGCUUCAACAGGUUUGUUCUACUUCUGAGAUCUUAAUAAAAAGCUAUGAUUGGGCUCAACAAAAUGGGCAUGUAGACAAAAAAGACCGCGGGUUUUACUUGACCCCUAAUGACAUUCGGCUUUUAAAGAAAAACCUCAGAGGUGUGGGUGACAGUGAUUCUGUCAGUGUGGACCAUUUGGUUUCCAUGGAACUCAGAGACAACAUCUGUUUUAUCAGCCACUUCACAAUGAAAAACCAUUCAUUUUAGUUGUACAAACACCAUUUCAAAAACAACUUUUGGAAGAGAACCCUCAUCCAAUGGUUUUCAUGGAUGCUUCAUACAAAGGCAUAACAGCCUACGGGUAUGCAUUUUAUGCACUGUUAUUGAUAAACAAAACUGGAAGCCAUUUGCCUAUUUUAUCCUGAGCAAGGAAACUACUGCACAGUAAGCCUCUGCCUACAGAAGCUUCAACUGAGUAACCCAAGCUUCUAUCCAAGGUCAGUGAUGAUGGACCUUGACUUGAGAGUGCUUGAUGCUAUUAAAAGCGUUUUCCCAAAUGCAAAGCUUCUCCUUUGUUGGUUCCAUGUGCUUCAGGUAAGUCGAUGAAUAUACAAUAUCACUAUUUGUGACAUUUAAAUCUACAAUGUUGUGCAGUUG